UAGGAUUAGUGGUGAUAGGGCUUAUGUGGUGUCUCGGAAACUGGGAUUUCAUGGUAUCUGUAGAGCGGAUCCCAUGGGCUUCUCGGGUGGAGGUUGGUUGAAGAUGAUGUGAUGCAAGUGAACGUUUACGAAAAAGCUGUCGUAAAGUUUCGUUCUUCGUUCCGUCGUCGAUCAAUCUAUCACUCAAUCACAGGCCGCUCUGUCAUUGUCUGAUUUUUG
rnacentral:lncRNA from 1 species